AUAUAAGCAAAUUUUACUUUUUAGGUUCAUUCAACUGAUGAUGUAUGUGGUUUAUAAUAUGGACCACAUACAUCAUUAAUUGAAUGAACCUAAAAAGUAAAAUUUGCUUAUAU
rfam:Medicago truncatula strain A17 chromosome 2, whole genome shotgun sequence.